rnacentral:lncRNA from 1 species
GUCCAUAUCAAAGAAACUCGAAUAAAAAUAUAUGAGAUCUGACCAGUGGGACAUUCUUUUCCAUUUCAGGGAAUGAAGUGACACGGACCACCGGCAACCUCUCGAAGCAGAUCAUCUUAUUCGCCAAUGUCGUUAUUAUCAUCCUUCCUCCAGGAGCGUUUGAGAUGUAGACAUUAUGUUGAGGAUGCAGUUGGGUAACCCCU